CGCACAUUGCGCCCACCAGUAUUCUGGUGGGCAUGCCUGUUCGAGCGUCAUUUCAAACCCUUAAGCCUCGCCGCUUAGCGUUGGGGCCCGCUGUAGCUACAGCGGCCCUUAAAGAUAUUGGCGGGAUCGUCGAGCUCUAAGCGUAGUAAAAUCUCUCGCUUCUGGGUUUCUGGCGGCCGCUGCCACAAGCCAACUAUUCUAUCAAGGUUUGACCUCGGAUCAGGUAGGAAUACCCGCUGAACUUAA
rnacentral:misc_RNA from 1 species